CAAUCGAUUGAUGGUUUAGUGAGGCCUUCUGACUGGCGCCGCUACUCUGGCAACAGAGCGGCGGAUGCCGGGAAGUUGGUCAAACUUGAUCAUUUAGAGGAAGUAAAAGUCGUAACAAGGUUUCCGUAGGUGAACCUGCGGAAGGAUCAUUACCGAUGUGAAAAAUCCCAGGGUAAACCUCCUUUACCCGUGGGGACUGGGAAACAACUUUUUAGGGGGUGGCCCCGGGGUGGGGCCUUAAAUGGGGGAAAAGUUCCUUCCCCCCGCCCCCCCCUUGGGGUUAAGAAAUCCCUUUGAACGUUAAAGAAUGGAAACCUAUGGUUCAUGGAUUAAAUGGAUGAAAAAAAAAGGAAGAAAAAUGGAAAACCACUUUUGACCGGGGAUCUCUUGGCUCACGGAUCCAUGAAGAACGCAGCCCGCUGCCAAUAGGAAGGGGGAUUGGAGGAUUCCGGGGAUCCAUGAAACUUUGAAACCCAAUGGCCCUCUUGGGUUCUCCCAGAGCUGUCUGUCUAGUGUCGGAUUUAACGAACGCACUGUGAGUGCGGUAUUGAGUGUCACGGCGUGUUAGCAAGCAAGCAUGCAUGAUGAGUCCUUGAUGCAUCACAUGGCUCGUAGUAUCGAUGAUCUUGAUGCUAGCUGAAUGAUAUUACCUCUUCAUCCUGCAAGCUGAACAAGUACAUCAUGCAGUGAGCAUAACCUAUCUGACUCAUACGCAGCUGCAGUACUGAUGAUAUAGUGAGAAGAGCUACAGCAUCAUCAUACGCAUCACAGUAUCGCAUGCAGUCGACGCUCAUGCUGAUCGCUGCGAAUGCUACUGCUGAUAUCGACUAGUGCUACGUGUCAGCGCUGAAGCUGAAUCGCUGCGUGCAGAGUACGAUCGAGUGAC
rnacentral:rRNA from 1 species